CAGCAGGGUCAAGGGAGACAGAUUCCUCCCACGGAGGGCCACUGCCUGCCUUGUCCUCAUCACGAGUGCUGGGGCACUCCCAGCCACGGGAUCUCCCCCUUCCCCUCACCUCUGCAGGAGUCAAGGGAGCCACGAUAGAGGCAGCACGCAUCCCGAGCAGCGAGAGCAGGCCCCACCACCUGCUUCCCCGGAACCGUGCUCAGCAUCUGUCUUCAGGCUGCCAGAGUUUUGAGCUGUGUCUAUGAGUUUUACCUCGAUUUAUUUUGUGUAUCCAUUAGCAAGAUGUGUCCUGUGGUAUCAGAAAAGUCUACGAGAGGUAAUUUGGGGGGUUUGGGAACGCUUACAAGUUUCUCCAUAUAAAUUAAUGGUAAUUGCUUCUUCGCUUGAUGUCGUUCUGGUUUCCGAAAGGUUUCAUAGGAACACUCGGCUUUCAGGUAGCAGGGUAAACCCGUCUAUGUGGGCCCACCAACAUGGAUCUAAUCGGUGGAGACAGCACAGUAACUAAAACACGCCAGGUGUCCGACACCAUGGAGCUUCCGUGGUCCUGAGCCCCUGACGGUAACCGGGCAGGCAGUAAGCAGACGGUAGUUUUCUCCCUUCCUCCCUAUCUUUCCAGAUGCCAAAGGUCAGUAUGAUGUCUAUAAACCACAAAAAGCAAACAGUAAUCUGUAUGUUGCUAAGCAUGUGAUUCACUGCUGAUACCAUUUCCCAGACUCUGAGAGGAUUUUGUCUUCGGUCUGUUGGUUUGUCUCUAUCGAGUUGCAUCUAGUUUUGGAACCCACUGAAGCUAUUUUACUGUUGGAUUAUUGAAAUUACUAAGCUAUUCAAGAAUUAAUUACCUGCGUAUCACUUCAACAUUAUUAAAGCUUACAGAUCAACAAUAGCUGCCAAGAUAGUGAAUUCUGUGUUCUGCUGGUAAGCAAUCCUCCACACCACAGCCAAUGGGUUUGUUUCGUUGCACAAAGAGUUGGCCCAUCCCAAGCAUCAGGACAUACCCUUUCUGCCUCAACAGACCACACCUGGCUUUAGCCAUAAAGCAGAUGUUUUCUUGGUACGAUCUUGGCAAAGCUGGAAUCAGCAGAUUCCAUGAAGCUCUUUGGCUUUCUCUCUCUGACUCAGCAUUGGGGAUUGCUGUAAACUUUCUGUCAGGUUUAAUCCUAUUUCCCCCAACUAAGCUCCAAUUGUAUUAUAGCUAUUCUUACUACCCUUUUUUACAUGCUAUGAUUUGUUUCACUGAUGAAAAGAACUCCCUUAGUUUUGAAAUCCACAUAUAAUAUACAUUACUUGUCAAAUUCUCUUACCUGUAUUAGGUAUCUUUGAGUAUAUAUUAUGCUUGAUUAUAUAUGUCAUACAAAGUCGACUCUCUAGACCUGAAAACUAUGAUUUAAAUAAUUGAAAGUAAAACCCGUGGAAUGCCUUAACCAUGGCCUUCUCUGAAAACUUUUACUUAGCACAUAGUUAGUAACUUUAUCUUUUACUUAAUUAUUAUAUAAUUGAUUUCUCUCAGUUUUCAGAAGCGUAUAUAUUUAGAGUUUCUUUGGCAGGGACAUAAGCCCACGGGUCACAGUGAAAUCUAUUACCAUAUGAAUGGACUCUCAUUUUUCCAUAUUAAAGUCCACUUAUACCAAGUUAUUAAUGCCCUUGCUUAUUUUCACUAACAUUUAUAUUUGCCUUUUAGGAGUGGCAUAGAAUUUUGAAUCAUAUUUAUAGAGCAAAUGGCUAUUUCAAUAUUUAUCCUUGGGACAAUCUUAAAAUAUGACCACUAUAUUGAUCUGUUUAUUUAAUAGACUUAUUCCCAAGUAAAGAAACAUCAUUGUUAUCAGUGUUAUUUUGCAAACAUGAUCUGUAAUUAUAUUUUGUAUUUUUCAACAGGAAUUACAUUCUAAGUAUUGGUGACAAAGAAAACUAUUAAUGUCAAAAACCCCAGCUAUGUUAUCAUUCAACCACUUUUGAAUGAUCAAAAAAAUUUAUAAUCUGAAUUUUAAAAUUCACACCCAUGUCCCAUUUUCUCCACUUAUAUGUUCACUCACUCAUUCAUUCAUUCAAUAAACAUGUAUUGUGUACCCACCUUGUAACAGGCACUGUGCUAAAUGCUGAGCUUGCAGAGAAGAAUGAGAUAUGGUCUUUGUCCUCAAGAGAUUUACUUCACGAGUUUGGAAGUAAGAGCAGCCCCUUCACUUAAAGUCACAGCCCUAGACUUUACGGGUGGAAGAAAAGUGUACCAGAGGCAACAGAACAAGCAUCACAGCAGGUGGAAGAGUGUAAUUUUAGCAACACUGGCUGUGUCGUCCACGAUGACCGCAACAAUUCCUGCUGUCAUAUCUAGACAUUACAACAUGCAGAGAAAGAAAAGGGCCUCUCUUCCGGAGUCUUCUUAGGACAGAAAUAUCUUUCCCAGAACUCUUCCUCCGGCCUAUUGGCCAGAACUGAGUCACAAGCCCAUUCCUGAACCAACCUUGGCAAGAAGAGGGGAACGGUCACUUUGGACUUAGACUAAUUGUCAAUCAUGAGCAAUAAACAUAUAGGAACUGAGCAAAACAAUGAGACUUUCUAAACAUUAUCUCUUCAAAGAGAUACGCAUAAAUCAGAAAACUCAAUAUUGUUACAUUGUCAGUUCCCUCCAAAUUGAUCUUGACAUUCAAUGCAAAACCCUAGGAGGCUUUUUAAAAAAAAAAAAAAGAAAGAAAGAAAUUAACAAGCUGAUUCUAAAAUUUGUACAUAAAAACAAAGGACCUAGAAUACAUAAAACAACUUGGAAAAAGAAGAACAAAGUUGGAGGAAUAACACAACCGAAUUUUAAGAUUUACCAUAAGAGCUGCAAUAACUAAGACACUGUGAUAUUGGUAUAUGGAGAGACCUAUACCAAUGAUAGUGUCUGGAAAAAGAUGUCAUGGUAAAUCAACAGUCAAUGGGGAAUAUUUUCAACAAAUAGUGCUAAAACAAUUAUAUUUUUUUCAUUUAUAUUUAUAUAUUUUUAAAGAUGAACCUUGAUGUGUACUUUGAAUCAUAUACAAAAUUCAACUUGAAUGGAUCAUAGACCCGAAUGUAAAACCAACAACUAUACAGCUUUUAGGGAAAAAAAAAAACAAAAUAGGAGAAAAAUCUUUACAACCUCAGGUCAGGCAAAU